UGGGGAAUCUUGCACAAUGGGGGAAACCCUGAUGCAGCGACGCCGCGUGAGUGAUGAAGCCCUUCGGGGUGUAAAGCUCUUUCGACAGGGACGAUAAUGACGGUACCUGGAGAAGAAGCUGCGGCUAACUACGUGCCAGCAGCCGCGGUAAUACGUAGGCAGCAAACGUUGUUCGGAGUUACUGGGCGUAAAGAGUGCGUAGGCGGUUCGCCAAGUUUGGUGUGAAAUCUCCCGGCUUAACUGGGAGGGUGCGCCGAAAACUGGCGAGCUUGAGUGUGGGAGAGGGAAGCGGAAUUCCUGGUGUAGCGGUGAAAUGCGUAGAUAUCAGGAGGAACACCGGUGGUGUAGACGGCUUCCUGGACCACAACUGACGCUGAGGCACGAAAGCGUGGGUAGCAAACAGG
rnacentral:rRNA from 1 species